CUUCAUGCAAUAGAGGAAGAAAAAGACUGUAGAGUUAUAAUAAUUCCAGUAUGGCUUUACCGCUUUAGCUUCUGCUGGAAUCAAUUUUGAAUGAAAAUUAAUCAAGGAUGAACACACACAAACACUUCAUAAUGCUUUCGUUGGUCGUGGUGUAUUAUAUACAUGUAAUGGGUCAACAAAAAAGGUAAAUGUUACCAACACUUCAGUGAUAACUCAACUCUCGUUCUCUAUUCUCUCUCUCACCAAAAAUCUCACCGAUCAAAAUGAAUCGACGACAACGAUCAAUCGCCACCAUCGCCGCCUCUCAGAAUUCAGUUUUCUUUUCUCGACCACAAACAACAAAUCGAUCACAGAAGCAGAGCUAUUCACCACAUUAACGUUCUUUCUCUCUUCACAACCUCGAAUAAUCACUUCGAUUCUUCGUUCAAGUCACAACGUCAAUUCAUAGCUUGAUUCAUCAGCAUUCCAUUCGUUGUAGAAUCUUCAUCUUAGGGUUCGUGAUUUUGUUCUAAUUAAUUCAAUUUGAGAUAAGUGAUAAUUUGUGUUUUUGUUCUUAGUUAUAAUUUGUUGAUUCUGUUAUUCUUUAUUCAUUCAUUCAUUUGUUCAUGCUUAUGCUUUAGCUGAAGCUUAGCAAUCAUCGAUUUCGGCAACCGCCAGCAGUGUCCAACCAUCAAUAAUUCAACGAUAUCGAUCUUCAGAUUGCAGCUCUAGCUACCAAAAGACAGCAUUGUUUCCCUCGUUGUAUUAUUGUGAAAUUUGACAGUGAAAUUUUCUCUUGCAAGGUUUUGGUGUUGGUUGAGGUUUCGGUGUUGGAUACGAUUUCAGAGGACCAAAACGGAAGUUAUUUUGAUUCAGGGCAGUUCCAGAUUGUUGCCUAACAAGGGUGAUUGGGAAAUCAAUCUGUAUGAGUUCCAUUUUCUAGAUUUGCAGAUAUGGAUGGUCUGACAUCUUUAAAAAGACCACAAUAUAAAGGUUUUAAAGGUCUCUGCAACAACAUUGUAUGUUAAAUAUGGUAUUGACAAAGGAUAAGCUAUGGCUUAUGCAAUUAGUUUGUUAGUGAGUUGUUACUUGUGCAGCAAGUUAGUUUGUUAGUGAGCGGUCAUUUUUUCAAAAGGAGCAAUAAUUCCAUUAAAUCUGCAUAUAAUGUCUUAAUGGAAGUCAGCAAUGUGGGGGUGCAGCUUCCCGGUUAAAAUCUGUGGCAUAAAUGUAUUCCGUUAAAAGUGGCAGUGUCUGCAUGUAAUGUCUUAGUGUAAAGUGGCGAGAAGGAAGGAAGGGGAGGUUGUUUUGUGGUGCGAGGUAGUUGGUCAAAUAGAGGCACGGUUAAGAGUAGCAUUUGAUAUGGUGGGAGGAUUUUGGCAGUGGGGUUUUAAGGUUUAUGCUGAAUUUUGUGUGUGGCUGUUACUGUUUGCGGAUUAGGUAGUGUACGUAUGCAAGUGCUGGUGGUUCUUUUGUUAUCUGAGAAGCUUUGGUUCGGUACGGUUUAGUCUCUCUGGCUGAUUGCUGCAUAUAUCUGUGUUUCUGGUUGGUUUUGGAGUGGUGAAUUGGCAGCAGAAGGCGAUGAAUUGAUGAAAAUAUUUGAACCUGUAAUCUUGCAAUUUCAUGGGGUUGUAGUGGAACAACAGCAUCUGUUUUGUUAGGAAUUGGUAGAUAUACGGCCAGGCGUUACAUUUUUUCUUUACUGAAAGAUGUUUUUUAGUUCGUGGAGUUUGUUAGCUUUUGGUGAUAAUAGUGAGCAUUUUAUUUGUUUCAAUUGGAGCUUGGUUGUACUUUGUAAACUGGUUGUAAUUUCGCUCAGUUCUUGCACAUCUGGUUAAAUGAUUAUAGAUAGCACAGACUAUAAAUAGUUGUGAUAUCAUAAGACAAUGUGCAAAUCAGAUU